rnacentral:lncRNA from 1 species
AUCGCCACCUCCUCCCUAUGUAUAUAUCCCCACCACCACCAUCACCUUCACCACCUCCUCCCUACAUCUAUAAAUCCCCACCACCACCAUCUCCAUCACCCCCUCCUCCUUACUACUACAUGUCUCCACCACCACCUUCUCCCUCACCACCCCCUCCUCCAUAUUACUAGACAAAUUAAAUUAUGUUUUUUAUAUUCAUGUAAGUUUUGUUUCGGACAUUAAUUUGUUAAUAAUUUUAUUUUUCUUCUUUUAUCUUGUUUUCAUCCUGUCGUGUCAUCUAAUUUUGAAGAUCUGUUUUGAAUUGCAGAUUAUGUAUUUAUGAAGACAAUAAUGGCUGCAAGAAGCACUGAAAUGAUUUCUUGGUGGCUCAUAUUCAUUCAUUCUGUCUCAAUGAAACGCCCUUCUCAAGAGCUAGGACGAGCAACGUGAACGUGAUGCUUCGCAGUGUUUAUAGAAAGAGACUUUUUCUUUGUUUCAGUUUCAUUAUUCCAUCGGUUCAUGUCUGUAAUGGAGUGAUUAUUUUUGUUGUAUGUUCGCUUCUUUUAUACUUAUUAUUAUUAUACGCCCUUAAAUAUUUCCUCAAGCCCUUCGUCAGCAAUUAUAUUUGAAUUGAAUAUGAUCUCUUCCCGC